AGUGAACUUAGAGAAAAGGACACAGGAGACAAGAAACAAGGACUGAAUAUCUUGUUUGCUGUCUCUAUGGCUGGGAAAGGCACAAUAAACAUGUUGAAAGCAUCAGCUGGGCUGGUUGCUUUUACUGCUGCUGAGAAAGGUGCAGAAAUGUUAUUCGACGAAUUCAGAAGGAGAAAGAGGGAGAAAACCAACAAGUUCCUGGAAUCCAAGAUGGACGAGAACAUGCAGGACCUCAACAAAAAAGUAAAAGCUCUGCAUAAAGAUUUCAAAAAAUUAGAGGAGUCCACAAAGAAUGAGGUCGAGACAAUGAGAGCACACCUGGAGAAGCAAGGAUGCAAGGAGAUGAAUGUUGUAUUGCUCCUGUUAUCAGUGUUGGACAAGAACCUCCAGGAGUUCUCCCAGAAAAUUGAAACUAUGGAAGAAGAUGUACAGAAAUAGCCAGAGACCACAAAGCGUGACCUUCAGCUUCACAGACAUGAACUGGAGAGCCAAG
rnacentral:lncRNA from 1 species